GGCUUGGGGCAAAGGUCACCCUGGGCUUCACCCUUGAUUUCUCUGGGAAAAGCCGUCAAACCCAACUCGUUUCUGCUUUAAGGAUUCAAGAUUCAUUUUACUCUCAAAUGCCGGACCUAAAGCGAAAGGAUGUUCUGUGCGCCUCGGCCAUGUAAACGAGCAGGGGCAUUUCAUCACAGCUUUGUGAAAAAAGAAUUAUACCAGAGCUUGUCUCAAAAAACCGUGGUACAUCUAUACAAUGGAAUACUAUGCAGCUGUAAAAAAGAAAAAACUCUUAACAUUUGCAACAGCAUGGAUGGACCUGGAGAGCAUUGUGCUAAGUCGAAUAAGCCAGUCAGAGAAAGGGUCAGAAAUAGAACAUCGAAGCUGUCAGUGCUGCUGUAUGAACAAGAAUAUGGUCUGGAUUGAUUGAAAAUAUUGAGAAACUGGCUGGGUAAGGCAUAAAUUACCAUAAUAGUGACUGAGAGGAGGGAGUUAAAGGAUCUACUGAGGAUCAGUAGUAAUAAGAAAUCAAGAUGGAGAGAGAAAAGAAUAUAGGGCUUCAUCAUGGCAAUGUGGUUUUGGCUACUGCAACUUUGAACAGUGGUCAGAUUAAGGAACUUUGUGGUAUUCAUAAAAAAAAGAGGGUGUUUUACACAUGGAGGGUGUAGAACUGAGGACUCAUUAUUUGACUUGGGAAAUUUGGUUUUGGUUCCAUUAACCCCAUCUGGCACAAAGGGCUCUCUCUGGCAUUGAAGUGAUUGAAGAAGUAAAACCUAUACUUUACAUAUUGCAACCUGAAAAUAUUUCCAAAGUACAGCAACAGGCUGCUCCACACUAUCAUAGAAAGCUUUUAUUAAGGUUGCAAUGGCACAUAAUACCUGCUAACGUAGCUUCUGUGGUUGACCUCUAUUUAAACGAGGCAUGCAGCCCACUGGCCACAAGUUUGACAUGCUUGUGGUACAGGAUCUUAGGUCCUCAAGAAAGAAUUUACAGCAAUAUGCUUUGAAGACCGUCAAGGUAGAUCUGGGAGGGCUGUAUCACCUCUGAAAAAGUAGUGCAGGAGGGACAGGCUCCUCUGUGCUGAAACAGGUCAGUAGCUGACUGACUGGGAUGUAAUCUGUACACUUAAAACUGAGGUCCUGUGAGUGAGAGUCAAAGUAUUACUAAGCCCCACAGUUAUUGCUCCUGUUAGAGA